GCCAGGCGCGGUGGCGCGUGCCUGUAGUCCCAGCUACUUGGGAGGCUGAAGUGGGAGAAUCGCUUGAGCCCAGGAAUUCUGGGCUGUAGUGCGCUUUGCCUAUCGGGUGUCUACACUAAGUUCGGCAUCAAUAUGGUGACCUACCGGGAUCGAAGAACCACCAGGUUGCCUAAGGAGGGCUGAACCGGCCGGGUCAAAAACGGAGCAGGUCAAAACUGCCGCGCUGAGCAGGUAGCCAGGGGUGAUCAGGUGACCAGGAUGAGUCAAGAUGGAGCUGGGGUGGGGGAGGGGGAACAGAU
ensembl:misc_RNA Metazoa_SRP Metazoan signal recognition particle RNA